rnacentral:misc_RNA from 1 species
AAAAGUCGUAACAAGGUUUCCGUAGGUGAACCUGCGGAAGGAUCAUUACCAGAAGAGACCCUAACCGGUCCUCUCAACCCUGCCCAUCGUACCCUUUGUGUUGUUCCCUCGGCGAGGCUUUUCAAGCCCGCCGGCGGGAAGAUCAACGAAACUCUUUGCAAGCAAGCAUCCUGAAACCUCUGAUCGAAUACAAAUUGUCACAACUUUCAACAAUGGAUCUCUUGGUUCUGG